rnacentral:lncRNA from 1 species
CCCUUCGUUUUCCGUCGGAUCUCCGACUUAUCCACCUUCCCUCUCCUCUCUUUAUAUCUAUCCAGAAAAAAAAAGAAAAAAAAGCUAAAAAGAAAAUCUAUUGGAAAAAAAUCAAUAUUUUCUAGGGUUUCAGUAUCUUCUAUCUCAAAAUUCUCAAUCUCAUCGAUUUUGAUUGAUAUCGGCCUUUUAUUUAUAUGAGAUUUUGUAUCUGCGAAUAAAAAGAGGAGAGGGAAGUAAAAAAAA